rnacentral:tRNA from 2 species
CCUAUCCUUUUUUCGUUACGUUAGCGGUUCCAAAUUUGUUAUCUUUCU